GCCCAGAAGACAUCAGAGAGAAGUGGAUGGGGGAGUAGAAAAUUGCAGCUCCCUGCAUUGACUCUUAGAAGAUUUCUCAGGUGUCCACAUUUCUAUGGAUGGUCCAUAGUUGUGCUUCACAGCAUCUUCACCCAACAGCCCCAGGAGAUCCAGUACUUCCAGGGUAGUCCAGGCAGGAGCGCAUCCAGUAUCUCUCGGUGUGCGUGGUGCCAGCAUGGUUGGUGGGGCGCCGGCUGCACUCAACAAAGUUUUAGGUGUAAACCAGACCAGAGUGAGUGUGGGAAGUAACCACACCUGCACCAACAUGUGCACGUGAGCAUGGGGAUGGACCACACCUACAUCAAUGUCUGCGAGUGAGCAUGGGGACUGACCAUGCCCAAAUGGACGUGUGCAGAAGCCAUUGAUGAUUUGAAGGCACAAGGAAAUGUAACAGUCCUCUGCACUGUUAUGCCCUCUUCCAACUGAGAUUCUCAAAGCACUUUACAAACAUAAAUCAGUUGCUUAUAACUUUACCCAACUCUGAGUGUUCAGGCUAAA